rnacentral:rRNA from 1 species
UACGUAGGGGGCAAGCGUUGUCCGGAAUUACUGGGCGUAAAGAGCGUGUAGGCGGUUUGGUAGGUCCGUUGUGAAAACUCGAGGCUCAACCUCGAGACGCCGAUGGAAACCAUCAGACUAGAGUCCGGAAGAGGAGAGUGGAAUUCCUGGUGUAGCGGUGAAAUGCGCAGAUAUCAGGAAGAACACCCGUGGCUAAGGCGGCUCUCUAGUACGGUACUGACGCUGAGACGCGAAAGCGUGGGGAGCGAACAGG